rnacentral:rRNA from 1 species
GAUGAACGCUGGCGGCGUGCCUAACACAUGCAAGUCGAGCGAACAGAUGAGGAUCUUGCUCGGCUGACGUGAGGGGCGGGCGGGUGAGUAACACGAGUAUAACCUACCUAUAAGACUGGGAUAACUUCGGGAAGGCGGAGAUAAUACCGGAUAAUAUAGUGAACCGCAGGGUUCAAUAGAGAAAGACGGUUGUGCUGGCACUAAUAGAUGGAUCCGGGCCGGAUUAGCUAGUUGGUAAGGUAACGGCUUACCAAGGCAACGAUGCGUAGCCGACCUGAGAGGGUGAUCGGCCACACUGGAACUGAGACACGGUCCAGACUCCUACGGGAGGCAGCAGUCGGGAAUCUUCCGCAAUGGGCGAAAGCCUGACGCAGCCACGCCGCGUGAGUGAUGAAGGUCUUCGGAUCGUAAAGCUCUUUUAUUAGGGAAGAACCGCUGUGUCCUUAUAUCUGCCCGUCUUGACGGUACCUAAUCAAUAAGCACCGGCUAACUACGUG